rfam:Sphingobium chlorophenolicum L-1 chromosome 1, complete sequence.
GGGCGCGUAGCUCAGCGGUAGAGCACACCCUUCACACGGGUGGGGUCGCAGGUUCAAUCCCUGCCGCGCCCA